AGCGAACGCUGGCGGCAGGCUUAACACAUGCAAGUCGAGCGGGCCUUUCGGGGUCAGCGGCGGACGGGUGAGUAACGCGUGGGAACGUGCCCUCUGGUUCGGAAUAACUCAGGGAAACUUGAGCUAAUACCGGAUACGCCCUUUUGGGGAAAGGCUUGCUGCCGGAGGAUCGGCCCGCGUCUGAUUAGCUAGUUGGUGAGGUAACGGCUCACCAAGGCGACGAUCAGUAGCUGGUAUGAGAGGAUGAUCAGCCACACUGGGACUGAGACACGGCCCAGACUCCUACGGGAGGCAGCAGUGGGGAAUAUUGGACAAUGGGCGCAAGCCUGAUCCAGCCAUGCCGCGUGAGUGAUGAAGGCCUUAGGGUUGUAAAGCUCUUUUAUCCGGGACGAUAAUGACGGUACCGGAGGAAUAAGCCCCGGCUAACUUCGU
rnacentral:rRNA from 1 species